rnacentral:rRNA from 1 species
GAUGAACGCUGGCGGUGUGCCUAAUACAUGCAAGUCGAGCGAACAGACGAGGAGCUUACUCCUCUGUCGUUAGCGGCGGACGGGUGAGUAACACAUGGAUAACCUACCUCUAAGACUGGGAUAACUUCGUGAAACCGGAUCUAAUACCGCAUAACAUGUUGAACCGCAUGGUUCAACAGUGAUUGACGGUCUUGCUGUCACUAAUAGAUGGAUUCGCGUCGCAUUAGCUAGUUGGUAAGGUAACGGCUUACCAAGGCAACGAUGCGUAGCCGACCUGAGAGGGUGAUCGGCGACAUGGGAACGGAGACACGGUCCAGAUACAUAGGGUGGGCAGCGGUAGGUAGUUUCCCGGAAUGGGAGAAAGCUUACCGGAGCAACGCUGCGUGAGUCAAGAAGGGCUACGGAUCGUAAACCGCUGUUAUUCGGGAAAAACAAAUGUGUAAAUAACGAUGCUGGUCUUGACGGUACCUAAUAAGAAAGCCAGGCCUAGCUAGAU